CGGAGUUGCCCUGGCCCUUCUUGGAAUUCAGCGGCGGACGGGUGAGUAAUGCUUAGGAAUCUGCCUAUUAGUGGGGGACAACGUUCCGAAAGGAGCGCUAAUACCGCAUACGUCCUACGGGAGAAAGCAGGGGACCUUCGGGCCUUGCGCUAAUAGAUGAGCCUAAGUCGGAUUAGCUAGUUGGUAGGGUAAAGGCCUACCAAGGCGACGAUCUGUAGCGGGUCUGAGAGGAUGAUCCGCCACACUGGGACUGAGACACGGCCCAGACUCCUACGGGAGGCAGCAGUGGGGAAUAUUGGACAAUGGGGGGAACCCUGAUCCAGCCAUGCCGCGUGUGUGAAGAAGGCCUUUUGGUUGUAAAGCACUUUAAGCGAGGAGGAGGCUACCUAGAUUAAUACUUUAGGAUAGUGGACGUUACUCGCAGAAUAAGCACCGGCUAACUCUGUGCCAGCAGCCGCGGUAAUACAGAGGGUGCGAGCGUUAAUCGGAUUUACUGGGCGUAAAGCGUGCGUAGGCGGCCAAUUAAGUCAAAUGUGAAAUCCCCGAGCUUAACUUGGGAAUUGCAUUCGAUACUGGUUGGCUAGAGUAUGGGAGAGGAUGGUAGAAUUCCAGGUGUAGCGGUGAAAUGCGUAGAGAUCUGGAGGAAUACCGAUGGCGAAGGCAGCCAUCUGGCCUAAUACUGACGCUGAGGUACGAAAGCAUGGGGAGCAAACAGGAUUAGAUACCCUGGUAGUCCAUGCCGUAAACGAUGUCUACUAGCCGUUGGGGCCCUUGAGGCUUUAGUGGCGCAGCUAACGCGAUAAGUAGACCGCCUGGGGGAGUACGUCGCAGACUAAAAACUCAAUGGAUUUGACGGGGGGCCCGCACAAGCCGUUGAAGCAAUGUGGAUUUAAGUCGAUUGCACGCGAGCAGCCUUUUACACCGGCUA
rnacentral:rRNA from 1 species